rnacentral:rRNA from 1 species
GAUGAACGCUGGCGGCGUGCCUAAUACAUGCAAGUCGAGCGAACAGACGAGGAGCUUGCUCCUCUGACGUUAGCGGCGGACGGGUGAGUAACACGUGGAUAACCUACCUAUAAGACUGGGAUAACUUCGGGAAACCGGAGCUAAUACCGGAUAAUAUAUUGAACCGCAUGGUUCAAUAGUGAAAGACGGUUUUGCUGUCACUUAUAGAUGGAUCCGCGCCGCAUUAGCUAGUUGGUAAGGUAACGGCUUACCAAGGCGACGAUGCGUAGCCGACCUGAGAGGGGGAUCGGCCACACUGGAACUGAGAAACGGUCCAGACUCCUACGGGAGGCAGCGGUAGGGAAUCUUCGGCAAUGGGCGAAAGCCUGACGGAGCAACGCCGCGUGAGUGAUGAGGGUCUUCGGAUCGUAAAACUCUGUUAUUAGGGAAGAACAAAUGUGUAAGUAACUAUGCACGUCUUGACGGUACCUAAUCAGAAAGCCACGGCUAACUACGUG